GCUCGCUCACAGCGAUUGCACACGUCAGAAUGGAAAGCAUUUCCUUAAGAGGGGCCCCCCCAAAUGGUAGCUAAACGAAGUCGCCAAGUCGCUUCGCAUCCUCUCCGGACACAAGUGUCGUUGUAAGGGCAAGGCCCAGUGUGUGCAGCCUUCUUUCGCUAGAGGGCUUUGUUCCUUCAGCGCGCGGGUCCCGGCUGUGUAACCCAGAGGUCCCCGCCCCAAGGGGACCCCGCGGGGCGCGUGUCCCGGGCCUGUCGCCCGGCCCCUGGCCCCCCCUUCGUGGGCGGGCUCCCCACCCCAAAGCUUCCGACGCUGAGCAGGAAGGAGGCGCCCAGUUAGGGGCAAGCCCUGCCCUCCGUCCGUCCCCUGGGGAUCGUGACCCUCCGAGACCUCCGAGAGCUGGCCAAGGGAGCAGAACAUCCGCGUCAUUAACCACAAAAGGCACCUGUGUUGGGAAAUCAGGCUCUCAUAGUUGACCAUGGCUUACGGCCUGCCAAGAAAGAACACAGUGAAAAACGUUCUGCGGGGCAGUUUUACAGUACAGCAACCUUGGGAUCUUGCACUGCUUACAGAGACCUGGUACACAAAACUAAGCAAAAUCAAAUUUCCUUUCUUGGAAGAAAUUACAUAUGGUGGUCCUGUAUACCUCAAAAAGUCUAAAAUCAGGAAGGACCUUCUGCUUCCUUCUGCAGAAGAUGUCAAAAUUGAAAGGGAUUUUGAAAUGAAGCGCUUAAAUAACCUGAAAUGUCAGGAAAAUGCAGAAAAGGAAAUUCAGCUUGCCUUAAGGGAAAAACAAUUUGGUUUGAGAAGACCUCUUCCAUCUAAGUGACCAUCGCCUCGAAAUCGAAUCUGUGCUUUCUGUGUCUGAUGGGGGACGGAGGUCUGUAGCCUUCCACCGUGUGAACUUCCAUGCGGGCAUCUGAAUGCCGCUGAGGAUGAGCCAGCUCAGGUGGGUUAGUGGACAGCUCUGACAGACCUCCUGGGUUCCUGCCACCCUCUUGUUCCAUUGUAUCGCAAGCAACAGCAUGUCCCUCUCGUCUUCGAAUGAUCUACCUCCACCCUAAAGACCUGCGUUUCACUUUGAAGUCUUCACAGCAUUGGAAUGUAGGU